rnacentral:rRNA from 1 species
GACGAACGCUGGCGGCGUGCUUAACACAUGCAAGUCGAACGAUGAACUUGGAGCUUGCUCUGGGGGAUUAGUGGCGAACGGGUGAGUAACACGUGAGUAACCUGCCCUGGACUCUGGGAUAACUUCGAGAAAUCGGAGCUAAUACCGGAUAGGACCUUGCACCGCAUGGUGUGGGGUGGAAAGUUUUUCGGUUUGGGAUGGACUCGCGGCCUAUCAGUUUGUUGGUGAGGUAAUGGGUCACCAAGGCGUCGACGGGUAGCCGGCCUGAGAGGGUGACCGGCCACACUGGGACUGAGACACGGCCCAGACUCCUACGGGAGGCAGCAGUGGGGAAUAUUGCACAAUGGGCGCAAGCCUGAUGCAGCAACGCCGCGUGCGGGAUGACGGCCUUCGGGUUGUAAACCGCUUUUAGUAGGGAAGAAGCCUUCGGGUGACGGUACCUGCAGAAAAAGGACCGGCUAACUACGUGCCAGCCGCCGCUGUAAUAC